AGAGUUUGAUCAUGGCUCAGAGCGAACGUUAGCGGCGCGCCUAACACAUGCAAGUCGCACGAGAAAGGGCUUCGGCCCCGGUAAAGUGGCGCACGGGUGCGUAACACGUAGGCAAUCUUCCCUCGGGCGGGGGAUAACGUUUCGAAAGAGACGCUAAUACCGCAUAAGACCACGAGCACUUCGGUGUUUGCGGUCAAAGCUGGCCUCUUCUUGAAAGCUAGCACCUGAGGACGAGCCUGCGGCCCAUCAGCUAGUUGGUAGGGUAAUGGCCUACCAAGGCGAAGACGGGUAGCUGGUCUGAGAGGAUGAUCAGCCACACUGGAACUGAAACACGGUCCAGACUCCUACGGGAGGCAGCAGUGGGGAAUAUUGGACAAUGGGCGAAAGCCUGAUCCAGCGACGCCGCGUGAGUGAUGAAGGCCUUCGGGUUGUAAAGCUCUGUUGAGGGAGAAGAAAACGGCUGGCGUGAAUAACUCCAGUCCUUGACGGUAUCCCUUUAGAAAGCACCGGCUAACUCUGUGCCAGCAGCCGCGGUAAGACAGAGGGUGCAAACGUUGCUCGGAAUUACUGGGCGUAAAGCGCGUGUAGGCGGGCCUUCAAGUCGGACGUGAAAGCCCUGAGCUCAACUCAGGAACUGCAUCCGAAACUGAAGGCCUGGAGUAGUGGAGAGGGAAGCAGAAUUCCUGGUGUAGAGGUGAAAUUCGUAGAUAUCAGGAGGAACACCGGUGGCGAAGGCGGCUUCCUGGCCAUUCACUGACGCUGAGACGCGAAAGCGUGGGGAGCAAACAGGAUUAGAUACCCUAGUAGUCC
rnacentral:rRNA from 1 species